GAUGAACGCUGGCGGCGUGCCUAAUACAUGCAAGUCGAGCGAACGGACGAGAAGCUUGCUUUUCUGAUGUUAGCGGCGGACGGGUGAGUAACACGUGUAUAACCUACCUAUAAUACUGUUAUAACUUCGGGAAACCGGAUCUAAUACCGUAUAAUAUUUUGAACCGCAUUGUUCGAAAGUGAAAUACGGUCGUUCGGGCACUUAUAGAUGGAUUCGCGCUGCAUUAGCUAGUUGGGAAGUUAACGGCUUACCAAGGCAACGAUGCAUAGCCGAAGUGAGGGGGUGAUCGCCCACCCUGGAAGUGAGACACGGUCAAGACGACUAAGGGAGGGAGCAGUAGGGAAUGUUACGCAAUGGGGGAAAGCCUGACGGAGCAACGCCGCGCGAGUGAUGAAGGUCUUCGGAUCGUAAAAAUCUGUUAUUAGGGAAGAACAUAUGUGUCAGUAAAUGUGCACAUAUUGACGGUACCUAAUAAGAAAGCCCCGGCUAACUACGUG
rnacentral:rRNA from 1 species